GACAGAGGUGCCAAGCGUUAGGCGGAAUCACUGGGCUUAAAGCGUGUGUAGGCGGAUCGUUAAGUACCUUGUGAAAUCCCACGGCUUAACCGUGGAACUGCUCGGUAUACUGGCGGUCUUGAGCAACCUAGGGGCGAGCGGAACAAAUGGUGGAGCGGUGAAAUGCGUAGAUAUCAUUUGGAACGCCAAUGGUGAAAACAGCUCGCUGGGGGUUUGCUGACGCUGAGACACGAAAGCCAGGGGAGCAAACGGGG
rnacentral:rRNA from 1 species